GACAGAGGGUGCAAACGUUGUUCGGAAUUACUGGGCGUAAAGCGCGUGUAGGCGGCUAAGUAAGUCGGGCGUGAAAUCCCACGGCUCAACCGUGGAAGUGCACUCGAAACUGCAUAGCUAGAGUCCUGGAGAGGAAGGUGGAAUGCUUGGUGUAGAGGUGAAAUUCGUAGAUAUCAAGCGGAACACCGGUGGCGAAGGCGGCCUUCUGGACAGUGACUGACGCUGAGAGCGAAAGCGUGGGGAGCAAACAGG
rnacentral:rRNA from 1 species